AUCCCGUACUUAUACACUUCGUCGCGCGCACUGGUCGCCGCCUCGUACAGCUUCCGAAAUCGUGUUUCCGCACUGACCAUCCUCAACGAUACCGGUCGACGUGACGUCCGUUACUCGCUUUCGUUUUGCUUCCGUCGGGUUUUCCAUUCCGUUUCGCACGUUUUAUUUAAAUUUUUUCAGAUUAUUUUAUUAUAAUUUUAUAUAUAUAUAUAUAUAUUACAGUUUUUCGUACGCUAUAUUAUUUCGAUUGUUUUGUUUCGAUUAUUUUUCCCCAUCCGAUUGCUAUUCAGCUGUUCGCACCGCGGUCGCCGAUCGUUUUUGACGACGGAACAACCGCAGUGCGCACGGUCCCGUGCCCGUCGGGAGACGAUUUCUCUCCGGAACCGUUCGGCCACGCUGCCGCCCGACGCCACCACCGCCGUCGCCGUCGCCGACCGACCACACAUCAGAUAUGUGGCCAAAAUUAGCGUUUAUCGGACUGAUAAUUGUUCGAUUGAUGGUUUCUGGCAAUCCAGAUGCCAAGCGGCUGUACGAUGAUCUGCUGUCCAGCUACAACAAACUCGUGCGACCCGUUGUGAACACCAGCGACGUUCUUCGGGUAUCAAUAAAGCUGAAACUGUCGCAGCUCAUCGACGUGAACUUGAAAAAUCAGAUUAUGACCACCAAUCUAUGGGUUGAACAGGCUUGGAAAGAUUAUAAGCUUCAAUGGGACCCAAAAGAGUACGGUGGCGUGCAAAUGCUCCACGUGCCUUCCGACCACAUUUGGCGGCCGGACAUUGUGCUCUACAACAACGCCGACGGCAAUUUCGACGUGACGCUGGCCACCAAGGCGACCAUAUACCACGUAGGGCUAGUAGAAUGGAAACCGCCGGCCAUAUUCAAAUCGUCGUGCGAGAUCGACGUGGAAUUUUUCCCGUUCGACGAACAGACGUGUGUGUUGAAAUUCGGUAGCUGGACGUACGACGGAUUCAAGGUAGACCUGAGACACAUGGACGAGAAGGUCGGCUCGAACAUCGUUGACGUCGGAGUGGACCUCUCAGAGUUUUACAUGUCAGUGGAAUGGGACAUACUGGAAGUUCCGGCGGUCAGGAAUGAGAAAAUCUACCCAUGCUGUGAUGAACCUUAUUUGGACAUCACUUUCAACAUAACAAUGAGAAGGAAAACGCUCUUUUACACGGUAAACAUCAUCAUACCGUGUAUGGGAAUUUCAUUCCUCACUGUGUUAACGUUCUAUCUGCCAUCGGACAGCGGCGAAAAAGUGACGUUGUCCAUAUCAAUUCUUAUUAGUCUUCACGUGUUCUUCUUGCUAGUUGUCGAGAUUAUACCACCAACAUCAUUAGUAGUCCCACUUUUGGGAAAAUAUUUGAUAUUCGCUAUGAUACUGGUCUCUAUCAGCAUAUGUGUUACGGUUGUAGUGCUGAACGUUCAUUUCCGAUCACCGCAAACACACAAAAUGGCGCCUUGGGUGAAAAGAGUAUUCAUUCAUAUCCUGCCACGACUUUUGGUGAUGCGGAGACCACAGUAUCAAUUUGAACCAAACAAAUUCAACGCUGGUUCGAUAAUGCUGAAGGGCCGAGACAUACAUCCGUGUUUCUUCCAGGCAGGCUGCGGGUACGACAGCACAGAAUCCGGCAAAGAUAAAGGUCGCCGGCAAACCGAUGACAGCAGCGUGUCGAAAAGCACUAGAGAAACAUCCAAAGAAGACUUAUCCAGCGACGGCGAAGGAGGCAGCUGCCGAAUACACGGGCCGGCGCAGAGCCUGAUCUCCGACGAGAUAUCCGUCACGGAGAUGACGACGGACUGCAGCAAGAGUUCGAUACUGCUGAGGAGCCCGGGGUUCCUGCACUCGUCGUGUCCGCCGGCCAUGCACAAGUCGUGUUUCUGCAUCCGGUUCAUAGCGGAACACACGAAAAUAACGGACGACGCGACUAAAGUGAAAGAAGAUUGGAAGUACGUCGCUAUGGUCUUAGACAGACUUUUCCUGUGGAUAUUCACCUUGGCCGUGUUCGCAGGCACCGCGGGUAUUAUCCUACAAGCUCCCACGCUCUACGACGAUCGGAUACCGAUUGACAAAAAGUUCAGCGAAUAUCAGACAUGAUUGUGCCAGGGCUCGGAUUCUAUAACGUUUGCUGGUUGUUAUGGAAUACUGAUAAAUAUAGCAGAGUACACGUCAUACAGUCUGUCACAACGUGAAGCCACCUAAACACCCAACGACGUCAUUGUUGUUGCAGUUGCUGUUGCAGCGGUUGUAUAAUAAUAAUAAUAUUAAUAAUAAUUAUAAUAAUUUGAUGAUGUUAACCAAAAUAUUGUUUUGUAUGGUUAAAUUGUAUUGUGUAUAUUAAGUUUUGUUAAACUAUUAUAGCUACUGAUGAUAACGAUUUCAAACGAUGCCCAGUAACAGAGUAAAUCACAAAACAACAACGAUAAUAAUUAUAAUAAUAAUAUCAAUAAUGAUUUUCCGACGUUGGUCGUAUAUGUAUAUUAUAUAAGUUAUCAUUUACGCGUGUCCAUCGUCGCCCUGUACAACAGUUAUUAAACAUGUUAUAAAACAUAAUGCGCAUAAAGUCAACAAAUAUAAUACGUGCGCCGCGAAACGAUGGGAAUUACUAUCGAUGGCGUUGUAGAUGAUACAUUAUGUCUAUGUAUACAGGGUGUUUCGCUAACUCUUACCAUUUCUAAAGGGAUAAUGGAAAAGUUACGUGAAAUAAAAUUACUCAAUUAGUGGAUUCUCGCGGGACGAGUACGCCGUACGAGAAAUGCAUGCGUGUUUUCAAAUUUUAAUAGAAUAAACCUACCGCGCACGUAAAACAUUACAAUUUCGUUGAUAACGGACGCGUUGUACGUAACCCACUAGCGAUACAUUGUUUCGUACGCGGUUUUUGUUUUUAUUAUUAUUAUAAUUAUUAUAAUUCUAACUGUUGUUAUAAUAUUAUUUAAUAUUAUAGUUAUAUAUAUAUACACUGUUGUCAUUUUGUACGUACAUGGUAUGUAAAUGCAAGAGGAAUUAUCAUUUUUUUUUUUUAUUUUUUUUUUAAAUAGAUCAUGCGUAGAGUGCCUUAAAAAUAAUAAUAUUUUCUGUAGCCCAUCUCGUGUUAGUAAUAAAUGCAUAGUUUAUUUAUUCUAAACGUGUAUAAUGCAUCGUUUUAUUUUUUCACGUUAGAUUCGAAAUCGUUUGCGUUUUGUGUACACGAUGUUUAUUACCGGAGGAGAAGGGGGAGGGAUAAAUAACCGAACGUUAUAGUGUACAGAAAAACUGCCAAAAUACAUUAUAAAACGGACUGUACACGUGACGUGACCCUCUACAUUGUUGCGUUCGUUGAUGCGACACUAUCAACAAUAGUUAUAAUUUUGUUAAAUAGAUAAUUUGUGUAUGCCUAAUAAUAUGUCGAUCGUUUGUCCGUGUCGUUAAGUAUAAAAAUAAUAAAAAAUGUAACUAAUGUUUACGAA